rnacentral:rRNA from 1 species
GACGAACGCUGGCGGCGUGCUUAACACAUGCAAGUCGAACGGAAAGGCCCUGCUUUUGUGGGGUGCUCGAUUGGCGAACGGGUGAGUAACACGUGAGUAACCUGCCCUUGACUUUGGGAUAACUUCAGGAAACUGGGGCUAAUACCGGAUAGGAUCUCCUGCUGCAUGGUGGGGGUUGGAAAGUUUCGGCGGUUGGGGAUGGACUCGCGGCUUAUCAGCUUGUUGGUGGGGUAGUGGCUUACCAAGGCUUUGACGGGUAGCCGGCCUGAGAGGGUGACCGGCCACAUUGGGACUGAGAUACGGACCAGAAUCCUACGGGAGGCAGCAGUGGGGAAUAUUGCACAAUGGGCGGAAGCCUGAUGCAGCAACGCCGCGUGCGGGAUGACGGCCUUCGGGUUGUAAACCGCUUUCGCCUGUGACGAAGCGUGAGUGACGGUAAUGGGUAAAGAAGCACCGGCUAACUACGUG